rnacentral:rRNA from 1 species
AUUGAACGCUGGCGGCAGGCCUAACACAUGCAAGUCGAACGAGUGGCGGACGGGUGAGUACUGUCUGGGAAACUGCCUGAUGGAGGGGGAUAACUACUGGAAACGGUAGCUAAUACCGCAUACCAUCAGAUGUGCCCAGAUGGGAUUAGCUUGUUGGUGGGGUAAAGGCUCACCAAGGCGACGAUCCCUAGCUGGUCUGAGAGGAUGCCCAGCCACACGGGAACGGAGACACGGGCAAGACUCCUACGGGAGGUAGCAGGGGGGAAUAUUGCACAAUGGGCGCAAGCCUGAUGCAGCCAUGCCGAGUGUAUGAAGAAGGCCUUCGGGUUGUAAAGUACUUGCAGCGGGGAGGCGUUACCCGCAGAAGAAGCACCGGCUAACUCCGUGCCAGCAGCCGCGGUAAUAC